UGUAGAAAGCAGCCUCCUUGAGAGCAGGAGAGCAGCUGCUGUGUGGUGCUGCAGGGCAUUUCUCCCAGCUGAGAUCCCUGAGCCCACGCUGGCGGAGGACGUGCUGUGCCAUCAUCUCUUCUGCGGUGCCGCUUUGCAGCUGCUCUGUGUGCUGGCUGUAAUCGUGCUGCUUUCCAGGUGCCAUAAGCCAGACUGGCACAGUCUUGGGACUCGGUCUGGCGAGGCAGUGAAGAAAGCCAAGGCAAGAGCUGCUCUGCUGAGGAAGAAAGCCCAGAAGGAGAGCAAAAAGAACCAGCAGGGCUUGAGCGAGAAGGCCCACAGGACACUGGGAUCAGCUGGAAUGCUUCCUCGGAGGUGGCACCAAAGGCAGCGGACUGAGUCCAGUUUUGUGGCAUGGCCGUGCUUUCUCUGUCACGGACAGGGCAGCGGAACUGAGGCACCUGGAAGGGAAGGACUUGUGCUGCAUUCCAAGCAAGGAGGGCUUGCCAGAGGCAGGUCUUCAGCUAUGGCAAGAGGUGGAGAGGCUGUGUUCCUUCAGGCUGCGUCUCUUCAGGGCCAGAGCCGGUCUAGUGUGAGAUAGAAGUAGGGCUAGCCGGGCCUGGAGGGAGAGGAGCUGACGUAGCCACAGGGUCAGGCUUCUCCUCGUGUCUGCCUGGAGGCUGAUUGACUCAUUGCUAAGCAGAAACCCUGGGCGCUGGGGUUUCAUUUUGGGCUGUGUUGAUAAAUACAACCCAGAGCCUUUUGCAUUGAAUAAAAGCGAAACCAACUUUUUCCA